AUCAGGGGUCCAGGACUGUUGUGUUUCCUUUAUUGCUUCAAUUUCCAAUUUUAGGUCUUGGAUUAUUUUAUUAAUUUCCUUCAGCUGUUUGAAUGUAUUUGAUUUUAUUUCUUUGAGGGACAUACUUGCUUCCUGUUUCUGGCCUCUACCUUUUUGAUUGUGUUUUCCUUUAUUUCUUUGAGGGAAUUAUUUAUAUCCUCUUUCAAGGCCUCUAUCAUCUUCAUGAUGUGAGAUUUAAGGUCAGAGUCUUGCUCUUCAAGUGGGUUAGAGUAUCCAGGGCUUGCUGUAGUAGGAGAGCUGGGUUCUGAUAGCCCAUGUUAUAUUGCCUUCUUGUGAUUAUGUGCUUGUGCUUGCCUUUUGUCAUCUAAUUGUCUCUGGUAUUGGUUGGCAUGAGUGUCCCAGAUUAGACUAGCCCUCCUGGGAGGCAGGUAGAGCUGUAUGCCUCAGGUUUCAGCAGACCUCUUUAGCUGUGGGUUUUGGCUUUGUGAUUGGAAGCAAAACAAAAAUGUUGUGUUUUAUAUGUUUUAUUAUGAUGCAUGCUUACAAUGUUCAAUAAUCAAAUUAGGAUUUAUGUGUUUUCAAACUAAAUUAAUUUUAUGGUAGAGUUUUAUCCUCACACUGAUAUUUUGAAAUAUAUGUUAUAUAGCCAAUUGUUACUCUACUUUUCUGAAAAAAAAGAUAAUUCCUAAAUAAUAUUUGUACUUUAAAUUUUGCAUGUUUGCAAGUUUGUACAUCAAAAUUCAGAGCUUGAACUUUUAUGAAACUAAUUUCGUGAAGUUUUAGAAGUCAUAACACUUAUAAUCGAAACACUAUAGUUGCACAGCAAAUUAUUUAUAAUUUUAUAAAGGGAGUACACUGUGAACACACUCUUUAUGAGUGUCAUAGUUCCUAUUAAUCAGAUUUAUUUAUCAAAUUUUUUUGAAUUAAUUUUUUUAUUAGGUAUUUUCCUCAUUUACAUUUCUAAUGCUAUCCAAAAAGUCCCCAAUACACUCCCCCCCCCCCAACUCCCCUACCCACCCACUCCCACUUUUUGGCCCUGGCGUUCCCCAGUACUGGGGCAUAUAAAGUUUGCAAGUCCAAUGGGCCUCUCUUUCCAGUGAUGGCCAGCUAGGCCAUCUUUUGAUACAUAUUUAUCAAUUUUUAAGGAAGCCAAGUAACUUAAAACACAAGGCAUAUUGAUUUCACAGCUAAUGUGCAACAUACAUAGGUUAAUUUUCCUGUCAUCUUGGUUUUCUCGACAUCAAAAUGAAGGUGUUAUUUUAGACAUAUGCCAAUGUGUAUAUAUAUAUUGAUAUAAUAUCAAUAACUCUUGUUCAUAUGAUACAUUUUACUGCUAUUUGCCUUCUAUUGAUAAUUACACUAAGCAUAGUAUAGUAUGGAUAUUUGUUGAAGUAAGUAUAGGUGAAUAUCUUUGUACUACAAAAUAUUCAUUUACAAUGUGAAUUUCGUAUCUUCCUAGCAACUUAGCACAUUGGUCCUUCCCCCAAUUCACUUUUUAAAACUCUUGUGCACAUUUGCUGUGGUAGCAGUGGGGAAGAUAUCAGACUUCAGAUUUGUUUUGAUGAUUGUUUUGGCAAACUUUCUUUUGGUUUCAAGUGAAUCCAGAAUUUGAAAUAACACAACACUCAAUAUUUUCAAAAGUCAUCCAUAGCUCAACCAACAAUCAUAACAAAAAUAUGGAAAUACUCCAAAUCUAUGAAUUGUUUUCCUUUCUUUCAGCAGUUUUUAAAAUGAAAGAUGAUUCAUGUCCUGAUCAUGGACGUAUUGAAGGAUUUUAAAAAACUCUAUCAACAGCACUGUUGAAUAACACAAUGUCAUUUUUAUUUAAACUUUUUACAAAACCUGGUAUUUUGCCUCUCACAGACACAUCAAGCUGUCAUUGAUGGAAACUAAUUAAAUCCUAUUUAUUUUAAGUUUUAAGUGAUAUAAACUUUUAAAAGUGACUAAGUGUUCUCUUUCCUCUCUAUCUUCCCCCACUUAUUCUGCCUCCUCUUCUGUUGGGUUCACUAAGACUUGAGGGAAGAUUUGACGGAGACAACCAUAUUUAGAGCUGUGUGAUACAAGGUCUCUCGCAGUGGAGGGAGGAAAUGGCCCUCUAAAACACUGAGCAAUGCUUAAGAGACUGAAAUAGCACGAACAGGGCCUGCACAGGUCUGCAUCAGAUCCUCUGUACAAACGCUAUCGUUUUCCGUUUAACUCUUUCCUUACACUCUUUAACGUGGGAUCGAGUGGAUUUUGAUUCAUGAGCCUGUGCUUGGGGCGUGUUUAUUUUUCUGUUGUCGUGUCUUGUCCAACUUUGACGUGAUUGUCUUUUUUAUCUUAUAUGUAAUUUUUCUGUUUUGUUGUUACCUUUUAGAAACCUGUUCUUCUCUAUGUAAAAACUGAAAGGGAGUGGAUUGGAGGAGAGAGGAGAGGGAGGGAAGAGAAACUGGGAGGAAUAGAGGAGAAACUGUACUCAUGUUAUGUUCUAUUAUAGAUGAAUCUAUGUUUAAUUAAGUCAUGCAGUUCAUUAGCCAGUUAGGUUGUGUUUAUGAAAACUUGAACAACUUUCAUCAGAAUAUACCAUGGUAAUAAUUGAAGCAGUUUUUUCACCUGAAUGAAAUCACUAAAACU
rnacentral:lncRNA from 1 species